GGUAAAAAGUGAGCAAAAAUUGCCUUCCUUCACCUACCCUGUUAUUAUAAGGUUACCAUACACCUUGUUUUACCCAACAGGUCCUCCUUGUUUAUGCAGAAAUUUUGACCAGGGUGGAAAAACUUUUAGUUGUUACCAAGAUAUUAAUAACACACAAAAGAAAUAUGGCAGCCCAAUCCUUUAUUCAAAGAUGUUCUUAAAUAAGGUACAAUAAUUAAUAGGAGCCAGGAAAAUUCCAAACUCAAGAACUUGGCAGAAAUAACAUUUGUCAUCACCAUUUUUUUUAGAAAAGGAGUAGUGAAUGUUUCCAUGAAUUCCCAACUCCAAGGAGUAAGAAAAAAAAAACCAGCUCACAGUAGUAGCUGUGGAUUCAGCUGGUUUGGGAAUUCAAGACCAAGUACAGAAGUUUAAAUAAGGAAAGCAGAGCAUGGACGUGAAUGGAUGUAUACUACACUUCCUACUAUUAAUUUGACCCCAGUACUUGAAAAAACAGAAAUGCACCUGAAGUACAGAACUGUACAUGAAGCACACGUGCUCUACAUCUCUUACCCACCCAAAAUGACUGAUUUUCAUUCUAGGAGGCUGGUGAUGGGAAAUAAGAUGAGAAUGAUUGUGAAGUACGUAGUUGAGGCAAGUUGUCCGAUGAUAAUAAAUGGAUGUUCGACUGGUUGGCUACCGAUUCAUGUAAGGAUUAAAAGAUUUGUUACUAGAAUUCAGAAUAAAAGCUGGGAGAGAGGUCGGAAGGUCAUAGUUCGUUGUUUUGACAUGUGGAGGAAUGGGGCUAGAAAUAGGAUUAAGACGGAGGCGGCUAGGGCUAGGACUCCUCCUAAUUUGUUGGGGAUUGAUCGUAGGAUAGCGUAUGCAAAUAGGAAGUGCCACUCAGGUUUGAUGUGGGGAGGUGUUACUAGUGGGUUUGCGGGUGUAAAAUUCUCUGGAUCUCCUAGGAGCCUUUAUAGCUCCCAAGGGCAUUUCCUGUUGCUGGGAUUGUAAUAACUGAACUUCUAACACCCUUUGCAGAAUA
rnacentral:lncRNA from 1 species